rnacentral:rRNA from 1 species
AGCAGUAGCCGCGGGAAUACGAAGGGGGCUAGCGUUGUUCGGAUUUACUGGGCGUAAAGGGUGCGUAGGCGGACUGAUAAGUCAGGGGUGAAAUCCCAAGGCUCAACCUUGGAACUGCCUUUGAUACUGUUAGUCUUGAGUUCGAGAGAGGUGGGUGGAACUGCGAGUGUAGAGGUGAAAUUCGUAGAUAUUCGCAAGAACACCAGUGGCGAAGGCGGCUCACUGGCUCGAAACUGACGCUGAGGCACGAAAGCGUGGGGAGCAAACAGGAUUAGAGACCUCAGUAGUCCCUGUCUCUUAUAC